ACCCUGCUGCGCACGGGCGAUCCAGUCUGCUCCUCUUCUCCCGACCCACCCCCUCCUCCUCCUCUGUCCGUGCUGAAUCUCGAGCCAUGCAUCUUUUGGCGCGGUGAGCCUUCCCACACAUCCGCCCCUGCUCCAACUGCAGGUCCUCCUCCAGAGGACGACGGCGGUGCCAAAGGGCCCCACAUCCCAACUGGAAGGCAGAUCCCUAGACCCAGAUCCCCUCCCUUCGCAGCCAAGGACGAGGCCCUGGAUUCCGUCGCCGAGGAGCUGGCGGUUGAGGUUGAGGAGGAGAUCGCGGUGGUGUGGAGAAGGUCUAGGAGUACAUGGAGCCGUCGGAGGAGGCCAAGGUGACGUUUGCAACCUUCCCUAUGACGUCAGCAGCGAGCGCCUCGCGCAGCUCUUCGAUCAGGCUGGCGUCGUCGAGGUUGCCGAGGUGAGCAUCUCUUCCUCUUAGACCAUCUUGAACGCUGGAUGCUAUCAAAAGGUGCUGGGAUUUCUUUCCCAGUCGAUCGGCCAGGAUGCAUCAAGCGCUUGAUAUUUUCCUUCGCAGGAGGUAGAAUACUAAAGGUAUUUGAAGUCUGUAAUUAGCGCCCUACUUAGCAUGAAGAGUUGACAGAGAGCGCAUUUAGAUGAUUUUUAAUUUUGAUAUUGUAUCUAUUUUUUUAAUCUCUAAGUGUCUACACAAGCGACCCGCAUCUAUCAGUAUUAAAAUUUUUAUAAGUCCUGUGUCCUCACCGCCUUGGAAUUUAAGAAUAUCAUUGGCACAUACAGACCACAGCUGUGUACCAAUAAUGUCAAUGUACUUAGCAUGAGAGUAUUAUUUGGUCGAUGCAUAUAGACCACAGCAAGUCGAUGAAUUAUUUGACCCUGAUGCUACCUUUGAGCUGGCUAGCGUCGUUGAGGUUACCGUGGUGAGCAGCUCUUCCUCUUAGACCAUCUUCAGUGCUGGAUGAUAGUUCCACAUUCGAUACGUGGCAUCGGUGACAAAAGAUGCAUCAAGUUCACACAAGGUAAAAUACUGAAGGUGUAUUCAAUCUGUAAUUAGCACCCAUACUUAACAUCAAGUGCUUACUGAGUUAUUUCACAAAAAAGGUGACAGGGAGGAAGCUUAGAUGGUUUUUAAUUUUACGAUAUUUAUUUUUUGUAUUUUUCUGAGCGUCUACACAUGCGACCUGCAUUAUAGAUGAUGUUAGCCUGCUGCCAUUGACGUUCCUCUGUAGACACACGCACAUUUUCCCCGGUGAAGGGAAUACCUCAAAUCCUCAUAACCCUGAUUAUGUGUCGUGUUUUUGCAAGACUGAAGCUGACAAAUUCGGUUCUAGAUGUAAAUGAUGACUGAUUUAAUGUGGUGGUUGUGUUGUUGAAGCUCAUAUGAUGGAGCGUUUAUGCACAACUGAAGUGGUACAUUCACUUCUGCAUACCUAUCGAACAACUUCCAAAACUUCUGAAAGCAAAGAGCUGGAGAACCAUCCUCUAGGCUCUCCUGUACCACCACAGAUUAUUUUGCUUCCAAAACCACUGAUAAACGCAGCAAGUUUUAAGUGCAAUUCCACAUCCAGAUGUUAUUCAGGUUGUCAUGAUACUAUAUCAGCUUAAAAAUUUAUUUUUACUCUCAAGUAGUCCAUAACUAUGUGAACCUGAACACUCAAAUCGCUGCUGGGGGAGGAUUUCCACAGUAUCUCUAGGGUGGUUAACCUGUUUGGAAUUAUUUGGAACUGAACUCCCUGAAUUGACGUCAAGCUUGGCAACCACAGAAUACAUUGUCUCGAGGUAUAAUAGCACUUGAUUCUCUAACAAUCACUGAUGCAUAAAUUGCAGCAGGGUGAACCCAAGGCCUCUCUUGUGAAUCACAUUGCUUCCAAUGAUUUCAGGAUUUAAUAUUUAAUAUUUUCUUGUUUAUUUUCUUUUCUUUUGGAGGAGAACUAGGUGCAGAUUGUAAAUGUGUGACUUUACAAGUUUAGCUGAAUAAAGAGAAUAUAUCCUCCAUAUCAUCUACACACAAGUAACAUUCACUUGCUAAAAGCAAGAAAAGUAACACAAGGCAUGACGACAAAAACAUUACUUCCACAUUGUUGCUAGCUGUGAAGUUUGUCAAAGUUGAACAGAAGAAUAUCCCGCAGUGUCAAAGUUGGAUAGAAGAAAUAGUGCGGCACACGAAGUGGGUUUGUAAAUGAGUGACAACGCUAAUAUUUUUCUCCCAGUGCAACACACGGCCAUAUGUUCUAGAUAAAAAAGGAAAAGGAGGAACUGCCGAGGAAGUAUGUUCAUGCACUGGAAGCUUUACUGGGUCAUGAUGCACAUUGAGAAGUUAGUGGUGUGUUCUACUUUUCUUUUGAGAUAAUUGUUGAAUAAUGGAAAAAGGGCACUACUGUUGGGGUGAAACCCAUGAUAUUUCUAAUGGUAUGUACAACCAGAUGUUAUACUGAAAAAUUCAGGAAUCUUAUCCCAAUACUUUUGACCACUACUGUACUCCGACCACAAAAGUUGUUCGAACUUGCCAUGUGCCAAAUAACCAAUGGUACAGAGGCCAUGCAACUUAAAACAUCAAAUUUGGGGUGGUCGUCCAACCUUCUUCAUUGCCUUCUUUUAUGGGCCAGUGAUCUAUUUCAAGAUCGUUGUCAUCAACGUCUUCUGAAUCCAGCUAGCGACUUCCUAGCCACUGUGCAAAUAACAUUUUUGUGGCUCUGAUGUUGUUUUAAAGGUCCAAAGGUCCCAUCAAGCUUUGCUCACGACACGUCAUCAAUGAAUGCAGGAGGAAGAUAAAGACUUUGAUUUUCCGAAGGUCAUGCAUAUAAUUUUUAAUUUUAGUAAGGAUGACCUUGUAAGGGUUGAUCGACUUUAAUAUAUGACCUUUGCCAUUUUUUGCCAAGAAAAAAAACUUUAAUAUGUGGCCUUUGACCCUUAUUAUAUGCAUUUUCUAUUUUUAGGUGUAUAUAUGCAUUUUCCUAUUUCCUGCUUGACCCAGUGGUUAAGGCCUUAACCAUACGUAGUGCUCGCAGUCUUGUACGCUAGUUCCUGUAUGGGCUGGCCCAUGUUUCCAUCUAAAAGGUUCCAAUGGUUUUUUGAGAUUUUCCAGGGUCGGUUCCGUUUGAUUUUUUCUUUUCCCAUUUUUUAUUUUUUUAUUUAAAAAAUUGUGACCUUCUUACAAUUUCGCAAUCUUUUCACAAAUUUCUGAACUUCUGCCCAAAUUUGUGAAUUUUGUUUUCAAAUUUGGUGAAGAUUAACAAAUUCACGAACAUUUUUCUAAUUCCUUAACAUUUUUAAAUUUGUGAACAUUUUUUAUAAUCCAUGAUUUUUUCAAAUCAUGAACUUUUCUAAUGUGUGCUCAUUUUUAUUGAAUUCAUGUUUUUUUUUCAAUUUUUGAAUAUAGUUUUUUUAUCUUUUAAAAAACUGACUUGAUAUUUUCCUCACUCUUUAGUUUGUAUAUUUUUCCUGAAACUGGUGCGGGCGAGCAAUCGCUAGCACCGGAAACCAGUGAGGCGACCAAAAUUUCAUGGCUUGUGGCAUGCUUAUAGGCCCGUGAUCUACCGCAGAAAGGGGAGCUCCUAUCGCGGCGACUAUAUUUGAGAGCUAUUUCUCUCUUUAAGAGAGACGAUAGCUUGCUCUCGCUGAAGGAAUUGGCCUCUCGCGCAAGAAACUUGACCUGCCCAUCAACACACUUUUAAAAACAAAAGGAGGAUGAAAAAGGUGCACACGAGAGGGAUUGAUCCUAGUACCUCUAAGAAGGAGACCACUGCUGCUAGCCAGCGCUGUUCAUGGCUAGAAUUGGUGGGCGUCCUUCUUGAGGUAACUAGAGCCUGUUUUCUUCUUUUUUCUUCUCUAUUUUUUAUUCUUUUUGCAUUUGUUUCUCUAGUUUAUUUUCAUUUUUUCUCUAGUAUUUUUUCGGUUUUUAUUUUUUUGGUUUUCUCCCUGUUUCUUUCAUUAUUUUUCAUUGUCUUUUGCAUUUUUCCUUUGGUUUUACUUUAUUUAAUUUGAUUCUAUUUUCAUUUUUCUUUGUUCUUUUGGUUAUUAUUCUACAUUUUUUGUAUAUGACGACAACAUAUUUCUAAUACACAUCUAACAUUUGUUCAA